AGUGAACGCUGGCGGUAGGCCUAACACAUGCAAGUCGAACGGCAGCACAGUAAGAGCUUGCUCUUACGGGUGGCGAGUGGCGGACGGGUGAGGAAUACAUCGGAAUCUACUUUUUCGUGGGGGAUAACGUAGGGAAACUUACGCUAAUACCGCAUACGACCUACGGGUGAAAGCAGGGGAUCUUCGGACCUUGCGCGAUUGAAUGAGCCGAUGUCGGAUUAGCUAGUUGGCGGGGUAAAGGCCCACCAAGGCGACGAUCCGUAGCUGGUCUGAGAGGAUGAUCGGCCACCCUGGAACUGAGACACGGUCCAGACUCCUACGGGAGGCAGCAGUGGGGAAUAUUGGACAAUGGGCGCAAGCCUGAUCCAGCCAUACCGCGUGGGUGAAGAAGGCCUUCGGGUUGUAAAGCCCUUUUGUUGGGAAAGAAAAGCAGCAGGUUAAUACCCCGCUGUUCUGACGGUACCCAAAGAAUAAGCACCGGCUAACUUCGUG
rnacentral:rRNA from 1 species